UACGUAGGGGGCAAGCGUUGUCCGGAAUCAUUGGGCGUAAAGAGCGUGUAGGCGGCCCGAUAAGUCCGCUGUGAAAGUCCAGGGCUCAACCCUGGAAUGCCGGUGGAUACUGUCGGGCUCGAAUCCGGAAGAGGUGAGUGGAAUUCCUGGUGUAGCGGUGAAAUGCGCAGAUAUCGGGAAGAACACCCGUGGCUAAGGCGGCUCUCUAGUACGGUACUGACGCUGAGACGCGAAAGCGUGGGGAGCGAACAGG
rnacentral:rRNA from 1 species